rnacentral:rRNA from 1 species
GCCAAAUUCCGUAGUGCAUUAACAUGUAAGUCGAGCGAACUGAUUAGAAACUUGCUUCUAUGACGUUAGCGGCGGACGGGUGAGUAACACGUGGGCAACCUGCCUGUAAGACUGGGAUAACUCCGGGAAACCGGAGCUUAUACCGGAUAACAUUUUCUCUUGCAUAAGAAAAAAUUGAAGGAUGGUUUCGGCUAUGACUUACGGAUGGGCCCGCGGUGCAUUAGCUAGUUGGUGAGGUAACGGCUCACCAAGGCAACGAUGCAGAGCCAACCUGAGAGGGUGAUCGGCCACACUGGGACUGAGACACGGCCCAAACUCCUACGGGAGGCAGCAGUAGGGAAUCUUCCGCAAUGGACGAAAGUCUGACGGAGCAACGCCGCGUGAGUGAUGAAGGCUUUCGGGUCGUAAAACUCUGUUGUUAGGGAAGAACAAGUACAAGAGUAACUGCUUGUACCUUGACGGUACCUAACCAGAAAGCCACGGCUAACUACGUGCCAGCAGCCGCGGUAAUACGUAGGUGGCAAGCGUUAUCCGGAAUUAUUGGGCGUAAAGCGCGCGCAGGCGGUUUCUUAAGUCUGAUGUGAAAGCCCACGGCUCAACCGUGGAGGGUCAUUGGAAACUGGGGAACUUGAGUGCAGAAGAGAAAAGCGGAAUUCCACGUGUAGCGGUGAAAUGCGUAGAGAUGUGGAGGAACACCAGUGGCGAAGGCGGCUUUUUGGUCUGUAACUGACGCUGAGGCGCGAAAGCGUGGGGAGCAAACAGGAUUAGAUACCCUGGUAGUCCACGCCGUAAACGAUGAGUGCUAAGUGUUAGAGGGUUUCCGCCCUUUAGUGCUGCAGCUAACGCAUUAAGCACUCCGCCUGGGGAGUACGGUCGCAAGACUGAAACUCAAAGGAAUUGACGGGGGCCCGCACCAGCGGUGGAGCAUGUGGUUUAAUUUGAAGCAACGCGAAGAACCUUACCAGGUCUUGACAUCCUCUGACAACUCUAGAGAUAGAGCGUUCCCCUUCGGGGGACAGAGUGACAGGUGGUGCAUGGUUGUCGUCAGCUCGUGUCGUGAGAUGUUGGGUUAAGUCCCGCAACGAGCGCAACCCUUGAUGUUAGUUGCCAGCAUUAAGUUGGGCACUAUAAGGUGACUGCCGGUGACAAACCGGAGGAAGGUGGGGAUGACGUCAAAUCAUCAUGCCCCUUAUGACCUGGGCUACACACGUGCUACAAUGGAUGGUACAAAGGGCUGCAAGACCGCGAGGUCAAGCCAAUCCCAUAAAACCAUUCUCAGUUCGGAUUGUAGGCUGCAACUCGCCUACAUGAAGCUGGAAUCGCUUGUAAUCGCGGAUCAGCAUGCCGCGGUGAAUACGUACCCGGGCCUUGUACACACCGCCCGUCACACCACGAGAGUUUGUAACACCCGAAGUCGGUGGGGUAACCUUUAUGGAGCCAGCCGCCUAAGGUGGGACAGAGGAUAGGGGGAAGUCGUAAUCAACGACCU